rnacentral:misc_RNA from 1 species
AAGUCGUAACAAGGUCUCCGUUGGUGAACCAGCGGAGGGAUCAUUACAGGACUCGCAAGACUCCUUAAACCCCUGUGAACUUACUGUUUAUACGUUGCUUCGGCGGGUGCUCCGGGUCCGCCCCGGGGCGCUGCGCCCGCCGGCAGCCUACUUAAUUCUGUUUCUCUGCGUUGGCAUCUCGAGUAAGCAAAAUAAGUUAAAACUUUCAACAACGGAUCUCUUGGUUCUG